UACGGGGGGUGCGAGCGUUGUCCGGAAUUACUGGGCGUAAAGCGUGCGUAGACGGUUAUUUAAGUCGGGUGUGAAAGCCCCGGGCUCAACCUGGGAAUUGCAUUCGAGACUGAAUAGCUAGGGUACGGUAGAGGGAAGUGGAAUUUCCGGUGUAGCGGUGAAAUGCGUAGAUAUCGGAAGGAACAUCAGUGGCGAAAGCGACUUCCUGGACCAGUACCGACGUUCAGGCACGAAAGCGUGGGGAGCAAACAGG
rnacentral:rRNA from 1 species